rnacentral:rRNA from 1 species
AAUGAACGUUGGCGGCGUGGAUUAGGCAUGCAAGUCGAGCGAGAACCGUAGCAAUACGGGGACAGCGGCGAAAGGGACAGUAAUGUGUAGGUACCUACCCCUGGGUUCGGGAUAGCUGCGGGAAACUGCAGGUAAUACCGAAUAAUGUCUCCGGACCAAAGGUGUGAUUCCACCUGGGGAGGGGCCUGCAUCCUAUUAGCUUGUUGGCGGGGUAACGGCCCACCAAGGCAACGAUGGGUAGCGGGUGUGGGAGCACGACCCGCGUCAUUGGGACUGAGAUACUGCCCAGACACCUACGGGUGGCUGCAGUCGAGGAUCUUCGGCAAUGGGCGAAAGCCUGACCGAGCGACGCCGCGUGCGGGAUGAAGGCCUUCGGGUUGUAAACCGCUGUCGUUGGGGAGGAAGUGCAGGGGGGUUCUCCCCUCUGUUUGACCUAUCCAAGGAGGAAGUACGGGCUAAGUUCGUGCCAGCAGCCGCCGUAA